rnacentral:rRNA from 1 species
UACGGGGGGUGCGAGCGUUGUCCGGAAUCACUGGGCGUAAAGGGCGCGUAGGUGGCGUCGUAAGUCUGUGGUGAAAGCCCGGAGCUCAACCUCGGAAUUGCCUUCAAUACUGGCUGUCUUGAGUGCGAGAGAGGUGUGUGGAACUCCGAGUGUAGAGGUGAAAUUCGUAGAUAUUCGGAAGAACACCAGUGGCGAAGGCGACACACUGGCUCACUACUGACGCUGAGGCGCGAAAGCGUGGGGAGCAAACAGG